rnacentral:rRNA from 1 species
GAUGAACGCCGGCGGUGUGCCUAAUACAUGCAAGUCGAGCGCACUGGCCCAACUGAUAUGACGUGCUUGCACUGAAUUGACGUUGGAUUCCCAGUGAGCGGCGGACGGGUGAGUAACACGUGGGCAACCUGCCCUGAAGCGGGGGAUAACAUCUGGAAACAGAUGCUAAUACCGCAUAACAACGAAAACCACAUGGUUUUCGUUUCAAAGAUGGUUUCGGCUAUCACUUCAGGAUGGGCCCGCGGUGCAUUAGCUAGUUGGUAAGGUAACGGCUUACCAAGGCGAUGAUGCAUAGCCGAGUUGAGAGACUGAUCGGCCACAAUGGAACUGAGACACGGUCCAUACUCCUACGGGAGGCAGCAGUAGGGAAUCUUCCACAAUGGGCGCAAGCCUGAUGGAGCAACACCGCGUGAGUGAAGAAGGGUUUCGGCUCGUAAAGCUCUGUUGUUGGAGAAGAACGUGCGUGAGAGUAACUGUUCACGCAGUGACGGUAUCCAACCAGAAAGUCACGGCUAACUACGUGCCAGCAGCCGCGGUAAUACGUAGGUGGCAAGCGUUAUCCGGAUUUAUUGGGCGUAAAGCGAGCGCAGGCGGUUGCUUAGGUCUGAUGUGAAAGCCUUCGGCUUAACCGAAGAAGUGCAUCGGAAACCGGGCGACUUGAGUGCAGAAGAGGACAGUGGAACUCCAUGUGUAGCGGUGGAAUGCGUAGAUAUAUGGAAGAACACCAGUGGCGAAGGCGGCUGUCUGGUCUGCAACUGACGCUGAGGCUCGAAAGCAUGGGUAGCGAACAGG